UACGUAGGUCCCGAGCGUUGUCCGGAUUUAUUGGGCGUAAGGCGAGCGCAGGUGGUUUAUUAAGUCUGGUGUAAAAGGCAGUGGCUCAACCAUUGUAUGCAUUGGAAACUGGUAGACUUGAGUGCAGGAGGGGAGAGUGGAAUUCCAUGUGUAGCGGUGAAAUGCGUAGAUAUAUGGAAGAACACCAGUGGCGAAAGCGGCUCUCUGGUCUGUAACUGACGCUGAGGUUCGAAAGCGUGGGUAGCAAACAGG
rnacentral:rRNA from 1 species